rnacentral:miRNA from 1 species
GCAGACACAUUCCAGCCAAUCAGCAGCAGACCCUCCCUCCCAGACCCUCCCACCUCCUGGACAGCUCACUAAGAAUGCAGCUUCACAAUGAAUGUAAAAUGGAUGCUGUCCAGGAGGUGGGAGGGUCUGGGAGGGAGGGUUUGCUGCUGAUUGGCUGGAAUGUGUCUG